GACGAACGCUGGCGGCGUGCCUAAUACAUGCAAGUUGAGCGAUGAAGAUUGGUGCUUGCACCAAUUUGAAGAGCAGCGAACGGGUGAGUAACGCGUGGGGAAUCUGCCUUUGAGCGGGGGACAACAUUUGGAAACGAAUGCUAAUACCGCAUAACAACUUUAAACAUAAGUUUUAAGUUUGAAAGAUGCAAUUGCAUCACUCAAAGAUGAUCCCGCGUUGUAUUAGCUAGUUGGUGAGGUAAAGGCUCACCAAGGCGAUGAUACAUAGCCGACCUGAGAGGGUGAUCGGCCACAAUGGGACUGGGACACGGCCCAAACUCCUACGGGAGGCAGCAGUAGGGAAUCUUCGGCAAUGGACGAAAGUCUGACCGAGCAACGGCGGGGGAGUGAAGAAGGUUUUCGGAUCGUAAAACUCUGUUGGUAGAGAAGAACGUUGGGGAGAGUGGAAAGCUCAUCAAGUGACGGUAACUACCCAGAAAGGGACGGCUAACUACGUG
rnacentral:rRNA from 1 species